rnacentral:tRNA from 1 species
GCUAUCGUAGCUUAACUAAAGCAUAACACUGAAGAUGUUAAGAUGGACCUUAAAACUGUUCCGAAAGCA